UAGUAAAAAAAUAAUCCAUUUGUACUCUUAAAAACUGAUCUAAUUGAAAAAUGACCAGACAGUGACAUGUGGUAUGCCAUGUAUGCCUCAUGCUGGUAUAUAGUGACCAAUUUUUAAUAGCAAAAAUAGAUAAAAAAUUUUAAUA
rfam:Gossypium hirsutum cultivar TM-1 chromosome 21, whole genome shotgun sequence